rnacentral:rRNA from 1 species
GAUGAACGCUGGCGGCGUGCCUAAUACAUGCAAGUCGAGCGAACAGACGAGGAGCUUGCUCCUCUGACGUUAGCGGCGGACGGGUGAGUAACACGUGGAUAACCUACCUAUAUGACUGGGAUAACUUCGGGAAACCGGAGCUAAUACCGGAUAAUAUAUUGAACCGCAUGGUUCAAUAGUAAAAGACGGUUUUGCUGUCACUUAUAUCUGGAUCCGCGCCGCAUUAGCUAGUUGGUAAGGUAACGGCUUACCAAGGCAACGAUGCGUAGCCGACCUGAGAGGGUGAUCGGCCACACUGGAACUGAGACACGGUCCAGACUCCUACGGGAGGCAGCAGUAGGGAAUCUUCCGCAAUGGACGAAAGCUUGACGGAGCAACGCCGCGUGAGUGAUGAAGGUCUUCGGAUCGUAAAACUCUGUUAUUAGGGAAGAACAAAUGUGUAAGUAACUAUGAACGUCUUGACGGUACCUAAUCAGAAAGCCACGGCUAACUACGUG